UACGUAGGUGGCAAGCGUUAUCCGGAAUUAUUGGGCGUAAAGCGCGCGCAGGCGGUCCUUUAAGUCUGAUGUGAAAGCCCACGGCUCAACCGUGGAGGGUCAUUGGAAACUGGGGGACUUGAGUGCAGAAGAGGAGAGCGGAAUUCCACGUGUAGCGGUGAAAUGCGUAGAUAUCAGGAGGAAUACCGGUGGCGAAAGCGACUCUCUGGACGGCAACUGACGCUGAGGCACGAAAGCGUGGGGAGCAAACAGG
rnacentral:rRNA from 1 species